rnacentral:rRNA from 1 species
GACGAACGCUGGCGGCGUGCCUAAUACAUGCAAGUCGAGCGGACGAAUCGAAAGCUUGCUUUUGAUUCGUUAGCGGCGGACGGGUGAGUAACACGUGGGCAACCUGCCCUGUAGACGGGGAUAACACCGAGAAAUCGGUCCUAAUACCGGAUAACACGAAAUGUCGCAUGACGUUUCGUUUACAGACGGCGCAAGCUGUCGCUACAGGAUGGGCACGCGGCGCAUGAGCUAGUUGGUGAGGUAACGGCUCACCAAGGCGACGAUGCGUAGCCGACCUGAGAGGGUGAUCGGCCACACUGGGACUGAGACACGGCCCAGACUCCUACGGGAGGCAGCAGUAGGGAAUCUUCCGCAAUGGACGAAAGUCUGACGGAGCAACGCCGCGUGAGCGAAGAAGGCCUUCGGGUCGUAAAGCCCUGUUGUUAGGGAAGAACAAGUAACGCAGUAACUGGCGUUACCGUGACGGUACCUAACGAGAAAGCCACGGCUAACUACGUGCCAGCCGCCGCAGUAA